rnacentral:lncRNA from 10 species
CGGCGGGCCAGGCCCUCCCCGUGCUUCUCCGCCCCUUCCCGCCCCGCCCACGGCCCUCCUCCUGGCAGCCCAGCAACAAGCGGCCACCGCCCCCACCCCGGGGCGGGCAGGUUCCGACCUGAAUCUGAAAGUGCUUCUAAACCCCAUGCUUCACAGAACGUUCGGAGGGGGAGGCGCUCCGUGGGGGCUGCUGCGUGCCCAUGUAGCCGAACUGACUCGAAUAAAAGCGUGUCCACGUCUACAUCACACAUCUGUGUAAAUGCAGAAGCCUGCGGAUGCGCGGGGCUGGCCAGACUUCACAGUGUGCAGACACAUGGGCUCAUGCACGCGCACGCGCGCGCUCACACACACACCCCAAAUUACCUCCGGGAUGGAGAAAGCCGCUGCGGAUUGGCCAGCAGAGCCGUCACUCACGCCCAGGGGGCAGGGAGACUUCGCAAAGCUGUUUCCUUUUUUUUUUUUCCUCCUCUCCUCCCUACCGUUUCAUUUAAUGGUAAAACAACAGCAGAGCUCUGAAAGUUAGCCAUCUGCGCAGAGUUUGCCUUCUUUAAGGAGGGAGGCGUCAGACGAUAUCCAUUUAAAUAUAUUUUGUACUUCCACAAAGGAUGGAAAGGGAAAUUCACGAAGGGAGUGGAGGCGGAAAGGGAGCUCCGAGAAAGAAGGAGGGGUCAUUCCGCGGGGGGCGGGGGGGGGGGCGGGGGCCGACGCAGGGGAAAGAGUUGCUCUCUACACCGAAAAGGGACUUUGACCUUCCAUUGAUCUCGAAAUUCAAAAACGUUUCUUCACAGGUCAGAUUGUAACAAACACUCGUUCCUAAUUUAUGAACUCGCCGUUUUGAUUUUAUUAUUUAAGCAUGCGCCAGCAAUCGUGUUUCCUUAAGAAAGAACUGACCUAUUUUUGGCUGGAGAUAAACGAUCAUGUUAACAGAUGUUAAUCUUGUAAUCUGUUUUUCCUGUAAGCACUUUACCUAGCCGGGUUUCAGACCUUAAAAAUAACAUCUUUUCCAAAAAGACCUGACGUCACAAUUCACUCCCUGAAAAAUCACACUCCCCCUCCAGUUUCUUCCCCUGCAAUGAUUUCAAAGACAUUAAAUCUUUUCCACUUUAUAAAUGCUGAUCUGUUCUGCCUCUACUCCCACAGGCUCUUAUUUGCAUUUCAAAUUCCACAGGUUACACCAGUCGCCUUUUCAAAAAAUGUAAACCAACAAUGCAGCAGCAAAUGGCUUUUUGUGCAUCUGGAUUAAAUAAAGCACAGAAUGAAUAUAUUUAAAAAGAGGGCUGCGCAAGU